rnacentral:lncRNA from 1 species
AGCCCAGCUGCGGAUGCAAGGUCCCUGCCAAGAACAGUGACUGUGUGCCACUUCUCAGUGCAAAUACCUGUGGGCACACAGGUAGGGAACACAUAUUCUUUUCCCCCUGCAGGUCUGUGGUUUGGUCCAUUUGACCCACAGUUCCCCAUUCACUUAGUCCAACACGUGCGCUGGAGCCGCCGAAAGGCACGGCCUGCCCGGCUCCCGGCACCGGCCCCACGCUCCUCGUCCCGCCCGCAGGCUCGGGCAGGAGCUGGCGCUGCGCUGCAGGAGCCGACACCAUCCGCCACUAGGGCGGCGGGCGGCAGCACCGGGACCGCGGGCACAGCCUCGCCGGCCGCACCAGGGGGGCAGCGGGCACCAGCCCCCUCGCCAGCCGGGCGGCUGCCCGCCCACGCCUCAGUUCCACUGACUGCGCGUCUCUGCGGCGGUAACCAGCCCCACAGCCCACCGCCGGCACCGCAGCCCGGCCUUCCUUCAAGCCACCCCCCAGCCUUCCCUGCAGACGCAAUACCCGGCCGCGGCGGGCGGCCCACCUGGCCUGCACCACGCCACGGGGCCCCUUCACCUGCGGGGGGGCGGCGGGUCCGGGGGCCCCUCAGAGGCGAGCGCGCCCGCACAGCGACGUCUCACCUCAUGGCUACCGCCACCGGCCGAGCUAGAGACACGGCCGGGGCCGGGGGCAGCGACCUCCCGCCCCGCAGCCUGCGGUGGGGGCUCGAGGAAGGGCUGUGGGGAACACGGCCGAGACGCUCCCACCACUCACUGAGCACUGAGCGCAUGAGUGACAGGCGCAGUGGCCAACUGCGAGCCGAGCCCUGCGGGGGCCGGCGAAUCGCCUGGGGCGCGGCGCGGCGCGGCGGGGCGGGGCGGGCGGCCGAGCGGCGGUGUGGCGGAGCUGAGCGGCCCGGCGCGGCCCGGCCUGCCCCCCGCGGGCAGCGCGGCCCCCCGGCGGCCCCACCGCCAGCGGCGCUCCGGGGGGACCCGGACGCCUCAGCGGGGAGCGCUCAAGACCCCGCGAGCCAUCUUCAUCCCCGUGACACAAACCUCUAUUCCUGUCAUACCCAAGAGGAAGCUGCAGCGUUAAACCCAAGACUCAAAAAGCCAGCAGCCUCAGGCUACUGCCCGACAUGA